GAUGAACGCUGGCGGCGUGCUUAACACAUGCAAGUCGAACGGUGAACACGGAGCUUGCUCUGUGGGAUCAGUGGCGAACGGGUGAGUAACACGUGAGCAACCUGCCCCUGACUCUGGGAUAAGCGCUGGAAACGGCGUCUAAUACUGGAUACGAGUAGCGACCGCAUGGUCAGUUACUGGAAAGAUUUUUUGGUUGGGGAUGGGCUCGCGGCCUAUCAGCUUGUUGGUGAGGUAAUGGCUCACCAAGGCGUCGACGGGUAGCCGGCCUGAGAGGGUGACCGGCCACACUGGGACUGAGACACGGCCCAGACUCCUACGGGAGGCAGCAGUGGGGAAUAUUGCACAAUGGGCGAAAGCCUGAUGCAGCAACGCCGCGUGAGGGAUGACGGCCUUCGGGUCGUAAACCUCUUUUAGCAGGGAAGAAGCGAAAGUGACGGUACCUGCAGAAAAAGCGCCGGCUAACUACGUGCCAGCCGCCGCCGUAACAC
rnacentral:rRNA from 1 species